ACUUCUUCCUUUUUUCAGUAGGUCUCGGUUCCCUUGCGAGUUCUUUCUCACCCCUCCCCCAUCAGCUCGUGGAAGCUUGGAGUGUGGAGCACAGCAAACCAAGGGGCCUCCUUUGGGACCCUGUGACAGUGCAGGGCUGCACCUGAGCCCUGUGCCUCUGGACAACAGCCAAGGGCAAUUGCCCACACUUGUAUGUCAGAUGUCUCCCACCCUUUUGUGUUCCAGGAAAUGACUUACUGCAAAGAACCACUCUUCCCCACGAGACUUCGAGAAGACCCGCUGUCACGGACUGAGUUGUGUCCUCUUAAAAUUCAGAUGUUGGAGUCCAAACCCCCAGUAACUCAGAGUGUGAACGUAUUUGAAGAGGUCUUUAAAGAGGUGAUGAAGGGAGAGAGACCCCAUGAGCUCGUCAAGCUCCUUCUGUGACUGAUCAGAGAUCCCACCGUGAGUCCAGCUCCUGGUCCCAUGCUCUGGAUAUAUCGGUCCCUGGCAGCGUGCCAGGCAGCCAAAUGGACAGCUCUAUAAGACUCAAGCCGACAGCGGAGAGAGUGCAACCAAACAGCCUUGGCCCAGCUUUCAGAGGAGAACGUUAUUCACCCCAACUGCUCUGCAUCUGCCUGGAUGUCUGCCAAGAUCUCAGUCUUCUUUCCACCAAUGACCCCUCGCGCUGCUUCCAGAAGCCAAGAAAGUGGGCUUUGUCCUUGGGGAUUUAGGAGGCGGAGCGGCGCCCCCUUGAGGCCACAUGGUGGAGGCAGCGAUGAGACCUGGAGUCUAAAAUUCAGACUGAAUCACAGGAAGAAGCUAUUUACACAAGUCAAACAUGGUCCAAUCUUGGCAAUUUCAUAAGGUUCCAAUCCUUAAGGGAUCAAAACCUGGCCAACUGCUUCCACCGAGAGGUGUGCCUUUCAAUGCCAGGCUUGGAGUGUCCCUCUUUAUUUAAAAAGGAGAGGAUUCCACAGCAGAGCUUCUCAAACUCUUCCACCCAAAUCCCCUCACCACAGAGGGACAGGAGUCCUGGGCAUGUAGCCUAAAGCAGCCAGGAGAAAAAAACCUUGACCUUAAUUUUUUUAAUGAUUUCACAUGAAUCAGUGGAAUGUGUUUAUGAUAAAAUCAUCUCCUCCUGAAAUACAUGUGUAAAACUGCUGCCCCAGUUAAACGCACUUAGUCUAACCAAGCCCUAGGAUUGGCCUCUCCAGCAUGAGAAGCAUUUCCAGCACUCCAGCUCCCCAGCUCCCACUCUGGGAUCCCACCUCAGACCCUCCCACUUCCUUGCACUCUGGCCUCUCGCUCUUGACCCUGCUCCCGCCACGCUCUUUCCUCAGAGUCCAUCAGUCCUGUCUUGUCUUCACCUUGGUCUCUGCCAAGUGUGGGUCCAAGUCAUAUAUUUGGGCUGUGAUCACAGGAACCCCAAGCCCCAGACCUCCCAAAGCACCCUAUGGAGAGACCUUACCCUCCUGGACAGACCCUCUCCCCCCAGCUAGACCUCAUCCUCUGGGUAGACCCAUCUCCCCAACCAGAACUCACCCUCCUGAGUAAACCCCAUCCCCCUAGCUAGACUUCAUCCUCCUGGACAGAUCCCAUCCCCCCAGCUAGACCUCACCCUCUUGGGUAGAUGCAUCUCCCCAACCAGAACUCUCCUGGGUAGACCCCUUCUACCCAGCUAGACCUGAUCCUCUGGACAGACCCCAUCAUCCCAGCUAGACUUCUCCCUCCUGGACUGUCCCCAUCCCCCCUCCAGCCAGACCUCACCCCUCUGGGUAGACCCCAUCCCCCCAACUAGACCUCACCCUCCUGGAUGGACUCUACCCUCCUGGAGAUACCUUCCCCUCCUGGGUACAUCCCACGUGGCUACACACUCCUUCCCCUGUCAGCUUUCUCCCCCAGGGUUCUGGGCAGCAGAGUCUGUGAUAAAGGAUACUAAGUGAUUCCCCAAUACUUCCCGUUUCCAGCCUCCAGUGGGCUCUCCCUGGGGCUAACGGUUCUUUUUGCUAUUUCUCCAGGCUUUGCCUGAUGACAAGUAUACUCUGAGAGUGUCCUAAUGAUACAGAUUUUGGACCCUAUCCCAGUUCUACUGAAUCCAAGUCUCUGGGGGAGGAGUUGGGGCUCUGCAUCUGGACACCUUCCUGCAGGGUCCCUCCUGGGAGGCAAGCCCGGGGAGCACCGCUGAGGCUCGCCUCAGUGCCCAUCCUAGACCUUCAGCAGCUAGCAGAGGAUGUCCCCACCAUCCCUCAGCCCACACUCCCACUGUCGCCCCAGCCAGGCUUGGCACUGCCUCCUUUCUCAGAAGAUUAAGACCAUCUGCUGUUUCCCAAGUUUCCCACCCUCCACCCUAAAAAUUUCUCCGUUUCCCAGUCUUUCCUCGUCUCUCAGAAAAUAAACAUCUUCCCAGGCUGCCUCCCCAGUGGGUCUGCACUCCUUGCUGUCUUCCCAGCACCUGCCCUUCCAGCCCGCCCUCUGUGUGUCCAGUGUUUCCCUCACCAAAGGACUCGCUUUGUUUUUCAAAUUGGAGGUUUUGUCUUCUCCCUAAAAACCAAAACAUCUCCCUGAGAAGUAACUCCCUCAAGCUACUGAUACGGAAGGGGGGCGGGGAAGUGCUGGGAAGGGAAGGGUGUGGUCCCUGGCUAGGGCUCCACCCCCGGGCCUGUGCCCACAGACCUAGGUGAGGACAGGCAUUUCUGUUUUCGUGCUUAAAUGUUGGAUUUCCCAAGACUACCCUGGCCUACCACACCCUCAUUCUGUGCCUGUAAAAAAACCUGAGAGCUUAGCAGGCACGCACACAAGCCUCUGGACGUCAAGAGGAACACACCGGUGUAAGAGCAGACUGAUAGUGGCCCACGGCAGGCUGGCAGGCCAUCGACAGGCAGAACCACUCAGUGCAGCUGGAGGACAGCCUGGCCACGGAGCGGUCCGACUUCAGAGGGGAAAACCACCUCCCCACUCCGUCUCCCUUCUGGCUCCCCCAUCUGAGAGCUACUUCCACUCAAUAAAACCUUGCACUCAUUCUCCAAGCCCAUGUGUGAUCUGAUUCUUUUGGUGCACGGAGGCAAGAAACCUCAGGAUACAGAAAGCCUCUGUCCUUGGAAUAAGGCAGGAGGUCUAACAGCUGACUAGGGAUGGCUCAACUGAAACAGCAUCCUGUAACACAGGCCCAUUGGGACCUCAGGAGCUGUAAACAUUCACCCUUAGACAUUGCUGUGGGGUUGGAGCCCCACCACCUGCCCAUCUGCAUGCUCCCCCUACAGGUUUGAGCAGCGGGGCACAGAAGAAGCCAGCCACACCUCCAUCGCAAGCCCUGCCACGGGGAUAAGGGAACUUUUCCCGUUUUGCCACCAGCUCAAGCCCCGCCUUCCUGUCACUCCACACUCUUCAUCUCUGUGUAUGGGUGUGGUCUUCCUCAGUUCCUUCUCUGGCCUCACACAGUGCCCUGAAUAAUGCUUUGCAAGGCCUUUGCCAGGAGCCUAGGUGAAAGGCAGAAGAGGUGCCCCUGCAGCAUCGCAAGGUAGAGAUCGUGGUUACAAGAUGGGGACUAGACUCCCAGUUUGCCCUUGGACUGGGCAGCCCCUUGGAUUUUGUUUUCCCUGACGUUGCUGUUCUGAUCCAAGGCCUUGUGGCCUCGCUACAGACACCCAAGGCCAGGCCUAUCUUUGCAUGAAUAACUAAAGAAAGCCUAGAGGAUGAGUAAAAUGACCACACUGUAUGGCUUUGGAGGACUGGAAGUUACUGAGGACUAUGAGUGGGUUUUUUGCAUAGACUGCAGUAAAGGUCCUCAGAAAAGACCCUCAAGAGCUAUGGGGGGGUCUGGUCAAAUGCCACUUCUAGACUGGACUCCAAAACUGGUGCUGAUUAUUUUCACUCCUACCCCACCCACCAGCCUGAUAGGCGAUUCCUGAAGUAGCAGUGGGGCGCUCAGUGGUGCUCACCAGGCCCAGAGCUCAGUCCUUCCCCCAUUCUGCCUGAUGGGGCUUGUGUAACCAAGGAUGACAGAUGGGACAAUCCCUGUUGGUAAAGACUGAGUUGAUUCUGACCAGGACCAGAGAUAAAACCCAGCACCUUUAUCUUUCCCCUUUGUACCUUCUUCAGAAAGACCUUCUUCUGCAGCAGUUCUGGAACUGUGAUCUGUGAGGUAUCUCACAGAAUCUCUGACCAAUGGAGAGCUAAUCAAAGACAAGUUUAAUAGGUGAAG
rnacentral:lncRNA from 1 species